GACGAACGCUGGCGGCGUGCUUAACACAUGCAAGUCGAACGCUGAAGCUCAGCUUUUGUUGGGUGGAUGAGUGGCGAACGGGUGAGUAACACGUGAGUAACCUGCCUCCUUCUUUGGGAUAACGCCCGGAAACGGGUGCUAAUACUGGAUAUUCACUGGUCUUCGCAUGGGGGUUGGUGGAAAGGGUUUUUCUGGUGGGGGAUGGGCUCGCGGCCUAUCAGCUUGUUGGUGGGGUGAUGGCCUACCAAGGCUUUGACGGGUAGCCGGCCUGAGAGGGUGACCGGUCACAUUGGGACUGAGAUACGGCCCAGACUCCUACGGGAGGCAGCAGUGGGGAAUAAUGCACAAUGGGCGCAAGCCUGAUGCAGCGACGCCGCGUGAGGGAUGGAGGCCUUCGGGUUGUGAACCUCUUUCGCCCAUGGUCAAGCCGCAACAAUGGUUGUGGUGAGGGUAGUGGGUAAAGAAGCGCCGGCUAACUACGUG
rnacentral:rRNA from 1 species